GAAGUGUACAAGUGAUCUGUUUCUGAACAUUUGAAAGCUGCGAGUGGCCGGACAGUCUCACACUCUCACCGUCUAUGCUUCCCUCACUGGAGUCGCCCCCAUCCUAUCCCAACCCGACAAGAGUCUAAUGGGGUCUAGAUGGAAAGGGAAGGGCUCAAACAGUAUUGCAGCUUCAGGCUCAUAUAAGGUGAUCGGGUUCUUAAGGAUUGCUAUGUCUGUGCAGUGUACUUUUCACGGUGGAAGCAGAACAAACUAAUGAGAUUAAUCGGGUGCUUUGACCGAGAGCCAUUAUUACAAUGGAGAAAGAUUAGCAGUGUUUUAGUUGAGAGUGGAGGAGGCCUUUUAUCUAUGCUAUUCUGUAAAAGGCCUGAACAAAGUUGAAGAUAAGUUCCCCAAGAAUGAUAACCAUCUUGGCAUUGCAUGAAAUUCUGAAGAGCAGUAUUGUUAUAAGACUUAUUCUCAUCUUAGAGUGAAAAGUUGGGUCUCCAUGCCCAGAAUUAUACAUUGCACUACUCAGCUCACUGGACGUGUUGUGAAGUCAUUGCUAGUUCUUGAUAUCAGCAAGUUGGUCAUAUUGCAGACUCUCCAUCAUUUAUGGAGAAUUGGAGAUAUAUAGUGUUGAAGAGUCAUUGCUCACAAGGUGGAAUCCGGAAUAAUCCUGUGAAGGUCACACCAAUAAUCAAAACUGAAAAUGGAGCCAAGUCAGAGAUGUUAUAUUUCCUCUCUUUAAACUUUGCUGCUGUCAAGUGAGAGGUUUGAUCACCUUUUACUUUUGUUCCUCAUCAUCCUUUCGAGCUUGUGGACUUCCCAUGUUGCUGCUGCACCAGACAAUAUUGGGAACACACUGAAAGUAGGCGACACUCUCAAUUCCUCUAGUGCCUUAGUUUCUGCCUCUGCUAAGUUCACUUUGCUUUUCUGGGUGAACGCUUCCCACUCCAACUACAGAUAUCUAACUAUCCUGUGCAUCAAAAGUGAUUCAAAUCAACCAUGGGGCCAACCGGGACAAACCUACUUUAUACCCAUUGGGAGUUCUUACCUUGGACACUAACAAUACAUUGAAAAUUACAACCCAUGGAGCUGGUGGCGGCAAUGGUGAUCCUCCUAUAGUGAUCUGUUCUGCUCCAAAAAGUACUACUGCUGUUGCUGCUCAACUAUUGGAUUCUGGAAAUUUUAUCCUACAUGAGCUGAAUUCUGACAGAUCAGCAAAGCAUGGUGGCAAAGUUUUGAUUAUCUGACAGAUACCUUUUCGCCAGGCAUGAAGUUAGGUGUCAACCAUAGCAAUGGCCUCAUUUGGUCUCUGACGUCGUGGACAACUAAUUACUACCCACCACUGGGAAUAUUUACCCUUGAUUGGGACCCAAAUGGCCGCCAAUUGGAAAUCCGGGGACGUUGGGUGGUUUAUUGGAGAAGCGGAAACUUUACUGCUAGUGGUAACAAAUUUGAAUUCAUUUUACCAGAUGAAAGGCUUCUUUUCAAUUUUAGCAUUGUUUCAAAUAAGAAUGAAGACUGCCUGACGUACACUUCUGAAAAAGAUGAUCAAAAUGGUGAAUAUUUACCAGAAUGGGUGAUGAGUUUCUAUGGGAGACUUUAUAACUAUAAUGGAGGUGUUGAUAUUGCACGAGCAGAUAAUUGUGGAGGCUAUAACACUGAUGGAGGGUGCCAGAGAAGUUCCUGGCCACCUGAUUGUUUGGCAGAUUUUGAUGAUCAAUAUGAGCUGAAAAAGGGUUACUUUAAACCAAUCACCUCAAUUUUUACUUCAUGAUGCCCGUACUCGCUCAACUUUGUUCCAAAUGGAAGUUACAGCAGCACUAGUAUUGAUUGUAAAGAUUCUUGUUGGCAAAACUGUGACUGACUUGGAUUCAACUUUCUAUUUGAUAAUCAGACUGGAUGCCAGUUUUGGAGUGUAGACUGUGAAUUCAUUGAAAACCUCAGUCAACCGGGUGCUGCAAGUAGUUUUGUGUUGACGAAACUAACAAAAUCAUCAGCCAUGAAAAUGUGCAACUCAUACAUGGAUUUGGAUUGCCGCUGCUAUUAGUGGUGCUGUUUUGGUAAUCACAUUUUGCAUCUUUUGCUAUCUACUAAGAAGAAGAAAACUUUCAGAUGCUUUUACAAUUAGAGAUUGUAAUCCUAGUCACUAGUUAAUCUAAAUAGGUGAGAAGAGGAUAACGGUCGAUCACAACAAACUGCUUAAUUUCAUGAAUUCUAAUAGACCUGCUGGUGUGAAUGGACUUAAAAUGAUGGAAGGGUGGGUCAUGAUUUAAGCGUAUUUAGUUAUACAUCUGUGCUGGAGGCCACAUGCAACUUAUCUGAAGAAAACAAGCUUGGAGAAGGGGGAUUUGGACCUGUUUAUAAGGGAAAACUAGUGAUGGGACAAGAAAUAGCAGUGAAGAGGCUCUCAAAAUGUUCCGGGCAAGGAACUUUAGAGUUUAAGAAUGAAUUGAUCAUCGUAUACUUCAACAUACAAACCUUGUUCAGCUUUAUGGAUUUUGCAUUCAUGGUGAAGAGAGGAUCUUGAUAUAUGAGUACAUGCCAAACAAGAGUUUAGACUACUUUUUAUUUGGUAAACUAGUAGACAAUUUGGUAAUUGUUUAUUUUGUUCUGCACGAAGAAUCAAGGGUGGACCGCCAUAUAGCUACUAACUAUGUAGUUCAAUAAUUAAAACCAUCCAUUCAUUAGGUCACUCUUCAAGGAUUUUACUUACAAGAAUCAGCCAUGUUAUUGGUCAUCCCAUUUGUGCAGAUAACCACAGUCAAUUUCUUUGAUGAAAGUGGAAUGCAGAUAUGGCUGAAUAACUCCUGACUUGGCUGAUAUUUGACCAUGAUUAUCCUUGAAUGAGGACCUAAAAAGUAGAUGGUCCUUAGCAUUGAACUGCAGUUGUGGGAGAAAGUGCGCAAACAUGAAGGCAUGGAAGUUAUGGAAAGAAGGUGCAGGGCUAAAGUUAAUGGAUACAACACUAGGCAUAUCAUUCAAUAUGGAUCAACUGUCAAGAUGCGUCCGUGCUGGUCUGCUAUGUGUUGAGGAUAAUGCAGCCAAUCGACCUACCUGUCAGAUGCAAUAUCUCUGUUGAUAUCUGAAAGCUUGCCAUUACCUGCACCUACAAAGCCUGCAUUUUCGGCGGAAAGGAAUGCGCCUAUUGCUGGUAUAGUCAGGACGGAACCAGAAAUUUUAUCAGUAAAUGGUUUGACCAUUUCUAAUUUAGUUGCACGUUAGAGGUACUUAAAUAUUGCAUACGGGUUCUACCUCAUCAACUAGUAUUGAGAUGGGUGAGAAAGUGGUAGUUUUCGGUUUGAUUCUCGUCACUUGUGAGAAAGAAAUAAAAACAAUAUGCCUGUUGUGCCUCAAUGUUUUGUACUUCCAAGUGUUUUGGUACUUUGGUUAGAAUGUUACUACCAUAAUAAAGUUUCCCCAAUGGCCGUUGCUCAGUUGGU